CAGCUGGGGGGGGCCUCAGCACCCUGCCUAGCUCUCUUUGAUGGCCGGAAUCCCCAGAAGUCGCCUGCGACCUCCUCCCCCUCUGCAGCCCUAAAAAGGACGCGGGGUCCCGGCCCGACGCAGGCGGAACCUUCUGCCCGCCUCUUACUGACCGAGGAAAAUGGCCUUGCGCGUUUGGAUAACUAGGGAGAGAUAGGUCGUUUCCCCUACCCAACCGCUCCUUGGGCUUUGUGCCCCAGCGAGCGUGAAUUCGCCUGCUGAGGGAAGAGAGCAAAUGAUGGCGAUGGACAAGAUGGACAAAACCAGCGGCCCCUGCACAUCCCAGCAGUUGUGAGGGAAAGUAGGGAACCCAGGGAUCGAGAAGUGCCCACGAUCUUCCCCAAAGCCAGAAGCAUGCCUAACGCCUGCUGCCCUACAAAAUGCCGGGCACUCUGACCAGGGACCCUGCGGCCAGGCCUGAGCGCUUUGUCCCUAGCCCGCCUGAGGAUGCUACCAGAUGAGGGUUGGACACAGAGGUUCGUUCGUCUGCUGGGGCCGCCGCUGAGCUUUUGGGCUCUUGGGCUCAGAGCCUGAGACUGUAGGCAAGGCACGUGUACUGGCGCGAAGUUCCCACAGUUAGCUGCAAGAGGAGCGAAGUAUGUACUCCAAACUUUACAGGGUUCCAAACUGAGCGCUUCCAUUAAAUGAAGCGGUGUGUGGAAAAGCAUUCUGGGUAUUAGCAUGCAAAUGAACGGGCCCGGCUUUAAACUCGGUUUGGCUCGAUGUAUUCCCACCACUGUGCGCCUGGCAUGCCGCUAGCCACACGCUCACUGAGUCUUCCCAGCGUAACACUGUAAGAGGACCCUAGUUCAAAUCCUAGACCUGAGCUCUCUGGUUGGUGCCAGUUACAUGGCUUCUGUGAGCCAGUUUCGUAACCUGUACACUGGACAAAGCAGCUUUUCUCUUAAGAAUUGAGAAUUCACCCUCCUCAGACAGUACAUUCCAGACUUACUGGAGAAAAUGAUGGAUGAGGCUUGAGGAAAACUCCCUGUCCCUUAAGCCUAAAUCCUGUAUUACAGCAAGCAAGUUAUUGCCUUAAUCUCGGUCCCAGCAUUUUAAAGGCAGAUUCUGGGAACUUGAAGUUUUUUUGUCCGAUUGUGUUUGCUGUUGAGUCCAAGACAGAGAGCAUCCAUCUAGUAUGUUCUAGGGCCCUGUUCUUUCCCAGACUGGGGCUGGGGAGCAGAAAGAGGGUCCUGAUACUCAAUGCCCACUCUACUCACAUCUCCCCAGCUUAGAUGUGCAUGUUUCUAAUUAAGCCCGAGAAAAGUGGAAAAGUGAGAGACUUGCCCAAGGCCACACUGUUGGUGGUAGAGACAGAAGUCAACCCAACCUCCUCUCCAGGGGUGUGAACCCCAUUAGUGGCUCCUUUGAGUUAGACUCUGAAUCUCGGUAGGCUAUGUUUGGAAAACUGGAUGCUUGCCGGCAGUGGUGGCAGCCAAUCCCUUUAAUUCCAGUUCUCAAGAGGCAGAGGCAGGUGUAUCUCUUGAGUUCAGGACCAGCCUGACCUAUAGAUUGAGUUCCAGGAGAGCCAAGGGCAGCCAGGGCUACACAGAGAAAUCCUGUCUCGAAAAACAAAAGAAAAGAAAACUGGAUGCCAUUAACUAGCAGCAUUGCAGUGGUUCUCCUUGCAAAGAGGAGUUCACAGGACUCCUCACCCACAGUGCUCCAAGGAAAACAAGGGACACACUGCCCCAUUGCUGGAGUAAUACUGAUGCUGGAGUAAACCUAGUGACUCAGGAUCCCACCUUGGAAAAGUGGCUAGGCGCAGGUGAAAAUACCAGUGUUGACCCCACCCAUAGCUUUUUCCUGCUUGUCACCAAGGCAGUGCUUAUGCAGGACCCAGGGUUUUUCUGCAACCCUGUUCUCCCUCUCACCCAUCUAUUGGACCCAGAGGCACCUAUUCUGUAACUUUAGGCUUCCAGAUGUGUUUAUAGAAUCUCAAUACACAGCUCAGACUGGCCUAGAGUGAGUGUGCAAUCUCCGGCCUCUGCAUCCUGAGUGCUGCAAUUACAGCAUACACCACCAUGCCCAGCUCCUGCAUUUAACUUUGUAUGGAACCAUCAGGCCUUUCUAUAGUGGCUGCACUUUCACAGCUCCACCACACAUACCUUUUUCUCAGUCGUUUUAAAGCUUAUCAAAACUCUCCACUUAUGAAUGAGCAAGCUGAGGCUUGGAGGGUUAAAUAACUUGCCCAAGAUGACAUGCCUGGGUCCAGACUAGCACCUCCCGUCCUUUAAAUCUCACCUACCUGAGCAUUCAUUGAUUGGCUUAACAAGUUUGCCCAGUGAAGAACUGAGAUAAGUAUUUAUGAACUACAUCUUUUUCCCUCCAUAUCUGAGGACAGAGUCUAUUGCCUUAUUCUCAGUUUCUAGGCUGCACCUUGAAGAGAAACAAGAGCUCACAAUCCCUGAGUCUGCCUCCUGCUGCUGGCCUGUUGGACCUUCUACAGUUGCCAUGGAAACUGUGUACCUCAGUUUUGGCUCUGCACCAGCUGGAUAGCAAACUGAAGAGCAUCAUUGUCUCUCAGGCUAAGCAGAGCUGUCGAGGUCAUUCAUUCAUUAGAUUAAUAUUGAUUGAGCACCUACUAAGCGCUUUGUUUUGUUUCAUGGGUUUUUUAGAUGCUGGAGAAUACAGUAGUAAACAAACUAGACUUCAGUCAUAGCCACCAAGAAUUCCAAAGCCCAGAGAAGCUGAGAGACAAGAAAUAAGGACACAGUAAAGUCUUCUCUUGACUUCUUCCCCCCCAGUCCAAGUUUUCCACUCACAGCCUCUUCUCCUGGCCCAUCCUCUGCAAAAGCCCGGACAAGUAAAGCUCCUUUCAGCAUUUACAGCUCUGUUCUUCCGUUUCAUUUUUUUUUUCCUGGUUGUGAAAACCAAAGAAAUUUCAGCAAUCCCAGAGGUACCUAUUCUGAUGAUUCCCGUUGUACAGACUGAUGAAUGGGCAGAUGAGAAAGGCAAACUCGAAUCACACACGGGGAGCGCCUGAGGCUUUACCUCCAACGCCCAACCUUCACUAAGCGGUCACUCUGGGAUCUGAAAAGAAGCACAGGCAUGAGGCAGCCAGAAACCAUCCUGCUCACAGUUGUCAGACUGGCUUGACAGACAGGGGCCAGCCCACUUCCUUCACCCUCAGAAAAAGCUGGUUCUCUGGCCACAGAAGCAAGAGGAGGGCUGUUCAAGUGGGAAUAGAACGCAGAGUUUGGAGACAAGCAGACCCAAGUUCAAAGUUCAAGUCACAGCUUUCCUCCUGCCAAAUGUAUAGCUUUGGGUUUCUAUUGCUGUGCUAUGAGAAGGUAUGAAAGUCACCCGCCUUCCCUAGAGGCCGCAUCCUUGUGCUCCACCAAUGAUCCUGUAUGAGCCAAAGGCUUAGAAGUCCUUGACUUCCAUCCUGAGGGGUUAGCCUUUCUCUGCUGUGAUCUUGGGGCCCUAAGGACCUUGUCAUUUAUCUUUGGCCAUGUUUCCUGUUUCUGUGUCACUAGCAUAGACCUCUGCUCUUUUAGAAACAAGAAAGGAGAGAAAAAAACAACAAACCCCCCUUCGUGUGUGUGUGUGUGUGUGUGUGUGUGUGUGUGUG